rnacentral:tRNA from 1 species
GGAGGAGUCGCAUAGUUGGUCUAGUGCGCACGCCUGGAAAGUGUGUAUACCGAAAGGUAUCGUGAGUUCGAAUCUCACCUCCUCCG